rnacentral:rRNA from 1 species
UACAGGGGGGGCAAGCGUUGUUCGGAAUUACUGGGCGUAAAGGGUUCGUAGGUGGCCACUUAAGUCAGACGUGAAAUCCCUCAGCUUAACUGGGGAACUGCGUCUGAUACUGAGUGGCUUGAGUGCAGGAGAGGAAUGCGGAAUUCCAGGUGUAGCGGUGAAAUGCGUAGAUAUCUGGAGGAACACCGGUGGCGAAGGCGGCAUCCUGGACCGAGAUUGACACUGAUGAGCGAAAGCUAGGGGAGCAAACGGG